rnacentral:rRNA from 1 species
AUGGUUAGCGCACCUGCCGGUGCAAGGUCUAGUUGUUCGGCCGGAAUGAAUAAGGCAGAUCCGGCUGGCGGCCUCUCAAAAUGGGCCGUCUUGCUGACGCGGGCUUCCUCCGACCCGGAUCCUCUGUUUUUUCAGUCUCCACACAGCGUGAGCACCAACAAACCAUCGCACUCGGAGGCGUACGGCUUCGUGGGGUCCAUCGCCGCGUCCGCCACCGCGCUCGCGUACAUCGCGUGGGCGUACGCGCCGGAGCCGUGGCUCUGCCACAUCGGCGCGACCUACUACCCCAACAAGCGCUGGGCGGUGGCCGUUCCGGCGUUCGUGGCGGUGGCCGUUCCGGCGUUCGUGGCGGUGGCCGUGGCGCAGGGCUUGGUCCUGUACGUCGCGUCCAACUUCUUCCUCGCUCCUCCGCCGGCUUGCUUCAACACCAUCUCCGAUGAGCACGCCCGGGAGCCGGCGUCGUCUUCCCUGCGGACGGGAGCGGAUCAAGCCAUCGAGCCCAUCGCGGACAUCCGCAUCGACCGGAUGAACAAUCUCAUGUUUGGCGAGCAAGGGUUUCAUUCACUUCCAAGAUGA